UACGAAGGGGGCUAGCGUUGCUCGGAAUCACUGGGCGUAAAGCGCACGUAGGCGGAUCUUUAAGUCAGGGGUGAAAUCCUGGAGCUCAACUCCAGAACUGCCUUUGAUACUGGGGAUCUCGAGUCCGGAAGAGGUGAGUGGAACUCCGAGUGUAGAGGUGAAAUUCGUAGAUAUUCGGAAGAACACCAGUGGCGAAGGCGGCUCACUGGUCCGGUACUGACGCUGAGGUGUGAAAGCGUGGGGAGCAAACAGGG
rnacentral:rRNA from 1 species